AUCGAACGCUGGCGGCAGGCCUAACACAUGCAAGUCGAACGAGUGGCGGACGGGUGAGUAAUGUCUGAGAAACUUCCUGAUGGAGGGGGAUAACUACUGGACACGGUAGCUAAUAACGCAUACCAUCCGUUGUGCCUAGGCGGGAUUAGCUUGUGGGGGGGGUAACGGCUCACUAAGGCGACGAUCCCUAGCUGGUCUGAGAGGAUGACGGGCCAAACUGGAACUGGGAAACGGUCCAGACUCCUACGGGAGGAAGAAGUGGGGAAUAUUGCGCAAUGGGGGCAAGCUGAAUGCGGACAUGCCGCGUGUAUGAAGCGGGCCUUGGGGUUGAAAAGUCCUUUCAUCGGGGAGGCGUUACCCGCAGAGGAAGCCCCGGCUAACUCCGUGCCAGCAGCCGCGGUAAUUC
rnacentral:rRNA from 1 species